GAUGAAGAACGUAGCGAAAUGCGAUAAGUAAUGUGAAUUGCAGAAUUCAGUGAAUCAUCGAAUCUUUGAACGCACCUUGCGCCCUUUGGCCAUUCCGAAGGGCAUGCCUGUUUGAGUAUCAUGAACACCUCAACUCUUUAUGGUUUUCCAUGAUGAGCUUGGACUCUGGGGGUUUUGCUGGCUCACAGUCGGCUCCUCUAAAAUGAAUCAGCUUACCAGUGUUUGGUGGGUAUCAUGGGUGUGAUAACUAUCUACGCUUGUGGUUUUUCCACCAGAUAACCUUCAGCAGUGGAGGUUCGCUGGAGCUCAUAGAUGUCUCUCCUCAGUGAGGACAGCCCUUUGAAUGUUUGAUCUCAAAUCAGGUAGGACUACCCGCUGAACUUAAGCAUAUCAAUAAGCGGAGGA
rnacentral:misc_RNA from 1 species